rnacentral:rRNA from 1 species
GACUUUAUGUUUUAAUUAAGAUUAUCAGAAAUUUAUUUUUUAGUUAUGAUCGGGGUGAUUUUUAAAGAUUAUUAAUCUUUAAAAUUUUUUAAUAAAAAAGUUCCAUUAGUAGUGAUUUUUUGAUAAAAAUACUCUAGGGAUAACAGCGUUAUUAUUUUGGAUAGUUCAUAUAGAUAAAAUAGUUUGCGACCUCGAUGUUGGAUUUAGAGAUCGGAUUCUUUUAUGACUGAAGAAGUUAUAAGGGAGAAGUUUGCUCAACUUUUAAAGUCCUACUUGAUCUGAGUUCAGACCGGA